rnacentral:rRNA from 1 species
CCUACGGGUGGCAGCAGUGAGGAAUAUUGGUCAAUGGACGCAAGUCUGAACCAGCCAUGCCGCGUGCAGGAUGACUGCUCUAUGAGUUGUAAACUGCUUUUGUACGAGGGUAAACUCAGAUACGCGUGUCUUUCUGAAAGUAUCUUACGAAUAAGGAUCGGCUAACUCCGUGCCAGCAGCCGCGGUAAUACGGAGGAUUCGAGCGUUAUCCGGAUUUAUUGGGUUUAAAGGGUGCGUAGACGGUCGGAUAAGUUAGUUGUGAAAUCCCGCGGCUCAACUGCGGAAUUGCAAUUGAUACUGUCAGUCUAGAGAGUAGUUGCGGUAGGCGGAAUGUAUGGUGUAGCGGUGAAAUGCUUAGAGAUCACAAAGAACACCGAUUGCGAAGGCAGCUUACUAAGCUACUUCUGACGUUGAGGCACGAAAGCGUGGGGAGCAAACAGGAUUAGAUACCCUAGUAGUC